rnacentral:rRNA from 1 species
AGAGUUUGAUCAUGGCUCAGAACGAACGCUGGCGGCAUGCCUAACACAUGCAAGUCGAACGAGACCUUCGGGUCUAGUGGCGCACGGGUGCGUAACGCGUGGGAAUCUGCCCUUGGGUCUGGAAUAACAGUUAGAAAUGACUGCUAAUACCGGAUGAUGACUUCGGUCCAAAGAUUUAUCGCCCAGGGAUGAGCCCGCGUCGGAUUAGCUAGUUGGUGAGGUAAAAGCUCACCAAGGCGACGAUCCGUAGCUGGUCUGAGAGGAUGAUCAGCCACACUGGGACUGAGACACGGCCCAGACUCCUACGGGAGGCAGCAGUGGGGAAUAUUGGACAAUGGGCGAAAGCCUGAUCCAGCAAUGCCGCGUGAGUGAUGAAGGCCUUAGGGUUGUAAACCGCUUUUAGCCGGGACGAAAGCGCUACGGAUAACACCCGUGGCGGUUGACGGUACCGGCGGAAUAAGCACCGGCUAACUACGUGCCAGCCGCCGCGGUAAUAC